rnacentral:rRNA from 1 species
AUUGAACGCUGGCGGCAUGCCUUACACAUGCAAGUCGAACGGUAACAGGUCUUCGGAUGCUGACGAGUGGCGAACGGGUGAGUAAUACAUCGGAACGUGCCCGAUCGUGGGGGAUAACGGAGCGAAAGCUUUGCUAAUACCGCAUACGAUCUACGGAUGAAAGCAGGGGACCGCAAGGCCUUGCGCGGACGGAGCGGCCGAUGGCAGAUUAGGUAGUUGGUGGGAUAAAAGCUUACCAAGCCGACGAUCUGUAGCUGGUCUGAGAGGACGACAAGCAAAACUGGGACUGAGACACGGCCCAGACUCCUACGGGAGGCAGCAGUGGGGAAUUUUGGACAAUGGGCGAAAGCCUGAUCCAGCCAUGCCGCGUGCAGGAUGAAGGCCUUCGGGUUGUAAACUGCUUUUGUACGGAACGAAAAGACUCUUUCUAAUAAAGAGGGUCCAUGACGGUACCGUAAGAAUAAGCACCGGCUAACUACGUGCCAGCCACCGCGGUAACAC